AGAUGAAGCUCGUCCAGCUUGUCCUGGAGGAAGGAAACCGGCAUGGAGCAACCUCUGCUUCGGUGUGGCAGCGUCUUGGCCUGGAAGAGGGAGGGGAACCACGGUUGCGUGGCGGCUGGUUCGGGUCGUCUUUAAACGAAGCCGGCCCAGAACCCACACGUUCAAUCCAGUCAAUCUGAUAACGCCUGCGGUCACAACUCCAGCAGUGGGAAAUGGAAAACGUACCAGAGAAAACACCAAAACGGGACGCAGUCUUCUGCAGCAAAUGCAAACUGAGGUGUUGUGGAUAAAAACUGAAAACGGUUCAGUUGGACAGAGAAGGAAAAUUUAAAAAAGCAGAAGACGUUUUCCACAGAAAGGCUGAGCGGUUACACAGCCUGACUGUCAGGGCUGGGCUGUGUGCAGUGUACACACACAGAGAUAACUUCUCCUGUCUGACAGCGCUCUCCUCCUCCGGUGGCGAUCCGCUCGGGCAUCUGAGCUACAGCUCCAUGGUUGACCCCUACGCUCCCGCCUCCUCCUCCUUUUCCUCCUCCUGUUGUGUGUGUUUACAGGCGGGCGAGAUGAGGGCCGCCUCACGCAGAGAAGUCAUCCACGCCCGAGGAAACCGGCCCGUCGCUCCGUCUCUCGCUGCUGCCUAUCGACCGCAAAUCAGCAGCAGAGCAGUCCUGCUCAUGUUGCCGCUUCCUGCAACAAAUUAAAGUUUAGAGAAGGCGCC